rnacentral:rRNA from 1 species
UACGUAGGUGGCAAGCGUUGUCCGGAUUUACUGGGCGUAAAGAGCGCGCAGGCGGUCGUCCAAGUCGCGUGUGAAAGCCCCCGGCUCAACUGGGGAGGGUCACGCGAUACUGGUCGACUCGAAGGCAGGAGAGGGUAGUGGAAUUCCCGGUGUAGUGGUGAAAUGCGUAGAGAUCGGGAGGAACACCAGUGGCGAAGGCGGCUACCUGGACCAGCACUGACACUGAGGCACGAAAGCGUGGGGAGCAAACAGG